UUCUUGGCUCAGAAGAUGAUGAUUGGAC
rnacentral:piRNA from 1 species